AUGUGUAGCAUUCAUAACCAGAAACAGGAAACUAAUUUUGGUGUCUCACAGACACUGUAAUUUCAGGUGACGUGUGGCAGAAAAUCUGGUUAAAAUCUGGUUAAAAUAUACACUGUAGGAUACUCAUGAAUAUUAUAUUUUUUACUAAAAAAAUACUUGAGCCAACAUGGUCGUUUUCUUUCAAGACUUUUUCAGGGAAGUCCUACAUCAUAGUUCAACUUCAAAGCAUGAUCUGGAUUGGUUGAUGUAGCCCGAUUAUGGAGAGAUUCUGGGCAGAAAGAGGGUUCUGGACAAGACUCUUACAACACAAGCUCCGUUCAAUGGCAGCCAAAUUUACCAUUUAAAAAUGCUUUGAGCCAGGAAGAAAGAAAAGAUACGCAAAAUUUAGUCAGGAUUCUGGAGGUCGACGGCCCCGACGCGGAGUCCAACCCCUCAUGCAAGAGGAGGAACAACAUUGGUUUCUUUAAAAUGCACAAGUGCGGAAGUAGCACUGUACAAAACAUACUGAUGAGGUACGGUGUGCGUCAUCUUCUGAAUUUCGUUCUUCCGCCCUCUGGGAAUUACCUCGGGCAAAGUUACUUCAACAAGCGUUUCAUGAUGUCCUUUCCAGUCCAUGAAUAUAAUAUCCUCUGUCAUCAUACGCGCUUCAGCAAAGAAGGUAUUUAUGAUCGUUAUUAAUUU